AUUGAACGCUGGCGGCAGGCCUAACACAUGCAAGUCGAGCGGUAGCACAGAGAGCUUGCUCUCGGGUGACGAGCGGCGGACGGGUGAGUAAUGUCUGGGAAACUGCCUGAUGGAGGGGGAUAACUACUGGAAACGGUAGCUAAUACCGCAUAACGUCGCAAGACCAAAGAGGGGGACCUUCGGGCCUCUUGCCAUCAGAU
rnacentral:rRNA from 1 species